UAUGAAAUGCCUGAGUAAAGGAUUAUUUUGAUAGAAUAAAUUAUGUAGAAACACUACUUUCAUUG
rnacentral:tRNA from 1 species